rnacentral:tRNA from 1 species
GGUCCCGGGGUGUUACAUGCAGGACUGCAAUUCUUGAGAAGCAGAUUAAGAUCUGCCGGGGCUU